ACAAACAGCCAUUUGCACAUACCAUUAGUGGACUGCUACAGAGAAGAUUAGCAAGACCCCUGUGAAAGAAUGAGUCACAGAUACAUGAAACAUUUCAUAUUUUU